rnacentral:rRNA from 1 species
GCAGUCGCCGCGGUAAUACGGAGGGAGCUAGCGUUGUUCGGAAUUACUGGGCGUAAAGCGCACGUAGGCGGCUUUGUAAGUUAGAGGUGAAAGCCUGGAGCUCAACUCCAGAAUUGCCUUUAAGACUGCAUCGCUUGAAUCCAGGAGAGGUGAGUGGAAUUCCGAGUGUAGAGGUGAAAUUCGUAGAUAUUCGGAAGAACACCAGUGGCGAAGGCGGCUCACUGGACUGGUAUUGACGCUGAGGUGCGAAAGCGUGGGGAGCAAACAGGAUUAGAUACCCCUGUAGUCCCUGUCUCUUAUAC